rnacentral:rRNA from 1 species
UACGAAGGGGGCUAGCGUUGCUCGGAAUCACUGGGCGUAAAGCGCACGUAGGCGGCGCGGUAAGUCACUUGUGAAAUCUCUGAGCUUAACUCAGAACGGCCAAGUGAUACUGCAGUGCUAGAGUGUGGAAGGGGCAAUCGGAAUUCUUGGUGUAGCGGUGAAAUGCGUAGAUAUCAAGAGGAACACCUGAGGUGAAGACGGGUUGCUGGGCCAACACUGACGCUGAGGCGCGAAAGCCAGGGGAGCAAACGGG